UCCUGUUUUCGUUGCUUCGGCAGGUCGGGGGCCAACCCCUUNCGCCGCCGGACUCCCCCUCGCGGGGCUGCGCCGGCGGGCCUGCCGGAGGGCACAGACUCUGUAUUCAAAAACGUACCUCUCUGAGUUAUCUUUACAAAUAAGUAAAAACUUUCAACAACGGAUCUCUUGGUUCUGGCAUCGAUGAAGAACGCAGCGAAAUGCGAUAAGUAAUGUGAAUUGCAGAAUUCAGUGAAUCAUCGAAUCUUUGAACGCACAUUGCGCCCGCUAGUAUUCUGGCGGGCAUGCCUGUCCGAGCGUCAUUUCAACCCUCAGGCCCUGGUUGCCUGGUGUUGGGGCGCCGCGUCCCCUCAGCGGGCGCGGGCCCCGAAAGUCAGUGGCGGGCUCGCCAGGACUCCGAGCGCAGUAGAUUUACACCACGCUGMGGAGRACSKGGMGGGUUACCCAGCCGUAAAACACCCCAAACUUCUAAGGUGACCUCGAUCAGUA
rnacentral:rRNA from 1 species